rnacentral:rRNA from 1 species
CAACUCGCCUGCAUGAAGUCGGAAUUGCUAGUAAUCGCGGAUCAGUCAUGCCGCGGUGAAUACGUUCCCGGGCCUUGUACACACCGCCCGUCACACCAUGGGAGUCGGUAACACCCGAAGCCGAUAGUCUAACGAAAGAGGACGUCGUCGAAGGUGGGAUUGAUGACUGGGGUGAAGUCGUAACAAGGUACC